AUCCAGUUGACGUGUUCCAAAUAGGACAAAAUGCACGUCAAACUGGAU
rnacentral:hammerhead_ribozyme from 1 species